CUCCUCCAUAAAUCCAAUGACACUCAAUUUUUUGAAAACUCAUCCAAUGCAGUAAUCAGUAGUUGUAAGUAUCUAUGUGCAUCAACUCCCUAGUGGUCUCCCUCUCAAAAUCUAUGCUAUGCUCUUGGAAGACCAAAGUCAGAACUAUGCUGAAGGUAAGGAUACCUUCAACUAGUUCGCAGCAUCGUGCAUUAGCCCAAUCAU
rnacentral:lncRNA from 1 species